UACGUAGGUGGCAAGCGAUACUCGGAAUCACUAGGCGUAAAGCGCGGGUAGGCGGUUUGGUAAGUCUUUUGUGAAAGCUCCCGGCUUAACUGGGAGAGGUCAAGGGAAACUACCGGACUAGAGUGUGGUAGGGGAUACUGGAAUUCCUGGUGUAGCGGUGAAAUGCGUAGAUAUCAGGAGGAACACCAAUGGGCGAAGGCAGCUCGCUGGGACGGUACUGACGC
rnacentral:rRNA from 1 species